rnacentral:rRNA from 1 species
AUUGAACGCUGGCGGCAGGCCUAACACAUGCAAGUCGAGCGAGCGGCGGACGGGUGAGUAAUGUAUGGGGACUGCCCGAUAGAGGGGGAUAACUACUGGAAACGGUGGCUAAUACCGCAUACGGUCGGAUAACCCAUAUGGGAUUAGCGAGUAGGUAAGGUAAUGGCUUACCUGGGCGACGAUCCCUAGCUGGUCUGAGAGGAUGAUCAGCCCCACUGGGCCUGAGCCACGGCCCAGAAUCCUACGGAGGGAGAAAUGGGGAAUAUUGCAAAAGGGGCGCAAGCCUGAUGCAGCCAUGCCGCGUGUAUGAAGAAGGCCCUAGGGUUGUAAAGUACUUUCAGUCGGGAGGCGUUACCGACAGAAGAAGCACCGGCUAACUCCGUGCCAGCAGCCGCGGUAAUAC